GACAGAGGAUGCAAGCGUUUAUCCGGAAUCACUGGGCGUAAAGCGUCUGUAGGUGGUCAAAUAAGUCAACUGUUAAAUCUUGAGGCUCAACCUCAAAAUCGCAGUCGAAACUAUUCGACUAGAGUAUAGUAGGGGUAAAGGGAAUUUCCAGUGGAGCGGUGAAAUGCGUAGAGAUUGGAAAGAACACCGAUGGCGAAGGCACUUUACUGGGCUAUUACUAACACUGAGAGACGAAAGCUAGGGUAGCAAAUGGG
rnacentral:rRNA from 1 species